UCGUAUUAGUUACAGCCUUAUGACUGCAAUUUGAUCGCGCUAAUUGGGUUUUGUGUUGGUUUGCGUGGACCCCAAGCAACCACCGGCCUUUAUAAAGCGGCCGAACCUCCUUUUCGUCGCCAUUCGAUCGGCGACGGGAAACCCGCCCUCGCUAGCACCCAGGAGCCGGAAAAUGCUAACGAUUAGAUCCCUUCCCACGGGAGCCGCUGGAGAAGAAAGGUUGAAUCAGACCUCUUUGAGAACGAAUAAUUGCAAAGGAGAGCUGGCUUCAUUAGGGUAAAUAACUGCCAAUAAUAGGGGUGAUUCGGUACACCUGUAGCGGAACUUUUGUAGAUAUCAAAGAGCCUCGUUAGUUCUACUGUCAAAUUUCCAUGUCAUCCGUGUGUCCCUCGAUUGAGUGCUGAUGCAGUCGUAUGAAUGGAGCCGGUGGACAACGUCUUAUCCGUUUCUUUUAAGAACUACCCACGUGAGAUGUAAUUUAGACAAGGAAACCUGACCACUUGCGUUAUUUUUCUAGUGUUCUAUUUGUUAACCAUCUUAGAAAAUUUUGCUUGGCUGCGCAUUCCAAGAUCCGAUCAAAUGGCUGUCAAUGGCGGGACCCAUCCGUCCGACAAUAUGAUGCAUGUUAUGGACCCGGGCGACCUAAAGCCACUCCGAUGUGCUUUGAUUCGGCUCGAAGUUCCCGGUACGUGCUUCGAGCUACUCAAAAUCUUCCGGCUCACCCACUAUGGUGGGUGGCAAACGCAACGCUUAAAAAGUAUAAUUCUGAGGAUAUUAUACUUUUAAACAGACAAUGUUGGUUCUCACGUCGGUUCCAAAUUAAAGCUCUGCUGUGACGUCAGUAGCCUCGUGUCAGUGGUCCUGCUGCCAAGGCUUAGGUUCCGUGGGGUCGACAGAUCCUUGUUUUUGUUCGAGCUGAUGUGACUGCAUGGGGAUGAGCUCAUGAGAGGGGACCACGCUCUGUUGAUUGCAUGCGAAUGCUACAACAAGUUUAAAUCACUGCUCAAGGGAUCAUGUAGGUGUGAUAGCCUCUUCUCGGUUGUACGUGUAGCUGGAACUAGCCGUAUGUACGAUCGCCUCAUCACCGGUGGGUCAAUCCGCAUUUGAUUGUGUGGUGAACGAAGCCAGCAGGACAGACUGAUGCAGGAUUCAAUAUCGGUAUCGCGGCGAUGGGGUGUUGGAGGAUGGUACAAAUCUGUUAGGCCCUGGAGCAAAGUUUCCGUCUAUAUAUUAUUAUUAUGCGUGGGUAUAUUAGUUUAGGUUACGUAAAUAGACAAUUUUUAAUUUUUCUCCUCUCCCACUUUCUUUCUUUUCCAAGUUGCUAUUAGAUAUUUCUUGCUUUUGAUCAGGGGUUACUCGGUGGUGUCUAGGUUAAUAGCAGUAUUAUUUAGUGCCACGCCAAAAGAAAGAAGCGUUAUCAAAUGAUAGCAACAUUCUUGGGGAGGGUCUCGAGCAUAGUUAUAUAGAUUGGAUCGUAUCAUAUGAUGAGAUAUGAGAAAUUGAGAAUUGGAUCAUUAAUAAAUGUAGCUCAUUUAUGAGAUUCGUCUCCUUAGAUCGAAUGAUCCGAUCGAUUUUUGGAUAGCUAGUUUGAACCAAGUUCGGGAUUUGUAAUAUAUUUAAAAUUACUUAACUAUCCUUCAAUUAAAAUUUAGACUAUUUAAUUUUAGGGGCAUUAGAAUAAAUUUAAAAUUAGGAUUAAGGGUUAAGAAAUUAUUCGGUCGGUUUUGACCACUCUUCUUUCCUUAUCUUCGUUUAGUGUUCUUUUUCAAAUCGUCCAACUCUCUCUAUCUUUUUCUUUCACAUAUUUCUCUCUAUUUCCUCUCGCUUAUCUUUCUUGUGUAAUCACUUCCAUUGGUCCUCGUUUUCAUUAUUAUUCCUUCUUGUUGUAUUUGGUUACAAUGCAUGAUACAUGUCAUGAUCCGAUCUGAUAGGAUACAAACAUAUUAACUUCAUUAAACUUGAAUCAUUGGCUUAAAAUGCUUAACCUCAAGUUAACUUUUGAUGUAGGAUUAAAUUAAGAUAUCAUAAUUUUUCUAAUUUAGGGGUUUGACAUUCUCAUCAAAGCCCAAUAUAACCCAGAAUCAUAUCUUAGCUUUGUGGUUGCGAUACCUAGCCUAGUUUUAUUCCGUAAAGUAUGCUCUCAUAUCAUCCAUGGAUAAUUUUUUCCUACUCGAGUCUGUUGUUAUUCUCCAGUACAAGGUCUACUCUAAUACCAAUUAUGAUGACUCGGUUCAAUGAGAUAACUAACUUAUUAAUUUUGUUAGACUUAAAUCAUUGACUUCAAAUGCUUAUGUUUAAAUUAACAUUAGUAUAUCUACUAGAUCCUUAUUUUUGUCUUCUUUUGAUAUAGGACUAAACCCAAUGUUAUAGAAUGAUAGAUGAAGUAUUUCUUUUGUGUUAUUUGAGUUGCUUUGUAUAUUUUAAAAAUAAUUUUAAAUAAAUAUAUGGUCUAACCAGUGACUCAAGGCUCGACCAAGUUGUUUUCCAAUUUGGUUUUGAUAAAUAUGAUUUUAAGAAGUAAAUGAUAGUCUUAUAAAGCAGUGCUAAUAAAAUCAUUAAAACACUACGUGACACUAAUUUAUGCAAUGUCUCUUAUUUAUCAUCGACGUUGAUGUCAUCAUGGCUAAUCUUUCUCAUUCAACUGUUACUUCAUUUUUGGUUGAUACUUUAAAUAAUAUUAAUACUUCAAAAUUUUAUUAAAAUUAUAAGAACUUGGCAUAUAGUUAAUCAUGGUUAAAUGGAU